GGGCCUCUAGCUCAAUUGGCAGAGCAGCGGACUUUUAAUCCGCGGGUUGCGGGUUCGAUCCCCGCGGGGCCCACCU
rnacentral:tRNA from 1 species